UGGGGAAUCUUGCACAAUGGGGGAAACCCUGAUGCAGCGACGCCGCGUGAGCGAUGAAGGUUUUCGAAUCGUAAAGCUCUGUCCUAUGGGAAGAUAAUGACGGUACCAUGGGAGGAAGCCCCGGCUAACUACGUGCCAGCAGCCGCGGUAAUACGUAGGGGGCGAGCGUUGUCCGGAAUUACUGGGCGUAAAGGGUUCGCAGGCGGAAUGGCAAGUCCGAUGUAAAAGGCGAAGGCUCAACCUUCGUAAGCAUCGGAAACUGUCAAGCUUGAGUGAAGGAGAGGCAAGUAGAAUGCCUAGUGUAGCGGAGGAAUGCGUAGAUAUUAGGAGGAAUACCGGUGGCGAAGGCGACUUGCUGGACUUCAACUGACGCUGAGGAACGAAAGCGUGGGUAGCAAACAGG
rnacentral:rRNA from 1 species